rnacentral:rRNA from 1 species
UACGUAGGUGGCAAGCGUUUGUCCGGAUUUAUUGGGUUUAAAGGGUGCGUAGGCGGCUAAUUAAGUCAGCGGUGAAAUUCCACAGCUCAACUGUGGAACUGCCAUUGAUACUGGUUGGCUUGAGUACAGAUGAGGUAGGCGGAAUUGACAGUGUAGCGGUGAAAUGCUUAGAUAUUGUCAAGAACACCUAUUGCGAAGGCAGCUUACUAAGCUGUAACUGACGCUGAGGCACGAAAGCGUGGGGAUCAAACAGG